UUCUUUCAGCACUAACAUUCUUGGUUUCUUUUUCUCUGAAACUUCUAUUUCUGUGAAGCCCUUCCCAGACCUCAUUUUGGCUCCAGAGAUGCUUGGCGAGGCACGUGAUGUUGUCAAACAUGAACAGAUGGCAUCUGCUCACAGGGAACAGGUCGGCGGUGGGGGCUGCCUUCUCUCCUCUCUCCAAAUGCCAAGAGCCACGUGGCACUGAGUUCAUGCCUCUCCCCUAAGACUGGCCUUUGCUGGGCCACGUGCAUCUCACACGGCACGGAAAGUGGUAACCCACUGGGAUCAGAGAGACACACUUUCCCCUGCUGGUUUUGAAGAAGCAAGCUGGCGUGCUGUGAGAGGGCCAUGUGGUAAGAAACAGCCUCCAGCCAAAAGAGCAAGAAACUGGGAUGCUCAGUCCAACCACUUGCAAGGAACUGAUGGCUGCCAACAACCAUAUGGGCCUGGAAGUGGAUCCUUCCCCACUCGAGCCUCAGAUGAGAAGCCAGCCCUGACCGGAACCUUGAUUGCAGCCUUGCAGAGGACCCAGUCAACCCAGCCGGAAUCCCAACCCCCUGAAACUGAGAUGAUAAAUGUGUGCUGUUUUAAACCACUAA